CAGUAGCCGCGGUAAUACAGAGGAUGCAAGCGUUAUCCGGAAUGAUUGGGCGUAAAGCGUCUGUAGGUGGCUUUUCAUGUCCGCCGUCAAAUCACAGGGCUCAACCCUGGACAGGCGGUGGAAACUACCAAGCUAGAGUACGGUAGGGGCAGAGGGAAUUUCCGGUGGAGCGGUGAAAUGCGUUGAGAUCGAAAAGAACACCAACGACGAAAGCACUCUGCUGGGUCGACACUGACACUGAGAGACGAAAGCUAGGGGAGCAAAUGGGAUUAGAUACCCCAGUAGUCCCUGUCUCUUAUAC
rnacentral:rRNA from 1 species